rnacentral:rRNA from 1 species
ACGAACGCUGGCGGCGUGCUUAACACAUGCAAGUCGAACGGAAAGGCCCUGCUUUUGUGGGGUGCUCGAGUGGCGAACGGGUGAGUAACACGUGAGUAACCUGCCCUUGACUUUGGGAUAACUUCAGGAAACUGGGGCUAAUACCGGAUAGGAGCUCCUGCUGCAUGGUGGGGGUUGGAAAGUUUCGGCGGUUGGGGAUGGACUCGCGGCUUAUCAGCUUGUUGGUGGGGUAGUGGCUUACCAAGGCUUUGACGGGUAGCCGGCCUGAGAGGGUGACCGGCCACAUUGGGACUGAGAUACGGCCAGACUCCUACGGGAGGCAGCAGUGGGGAAUAUUGCACAAUGGGCGGAAGCCUGAUGCAGCAACGCCGCGUGCGGGAUGACGGCCUUCGGGUUGUAAACCGCUUUCGCCUGUGACGAAGCGUGAGUGACGGUAAUGGGUAAAGAAGCACCGGCUAACUACGUG